AUGACCGUUAGGCUUGAGCACUAUGAAACCUUGAUUGGUGUUGAUUUCUAUCAGGUGGAGAUAUGUCCCCCUUUACCCUGUGUUGCACAUGAGGAUUUGAGCGACUCUGAGAAGGAACUUGUUGGCACUUUUUUUUACACUCGUGGUGUCGAUCUCAAUUAUCAGCAAAUGUAUUUCAUGUCGCAACAAUUCUUUGAUGACAACUACAUACUCUGUUGUCCUUUUGUUCACAUGAUUAAUUCCGUGAAUGUUAAUGGUCAUCAUAUGGUUAUUCCUAGCAUGGUUGUCAGGAGUUUGAAGAAGUUUGUGUCAUUUCCUAGGGCCGACGUUUUAACUCUUGAAGUUACUUUAGAUUCUUACGAUGAUGAUAUAUAUGUGAGCAUUCCUUGUUCGUACUUCAUUGGCUUGGGUGGUAGAAUGGUGUUCAAGAAGCAAGGGUUCAGUGAUUUUCUUCAGGCAUCGUCUAUUAAAGUAAACAACUUGGAUCUCAUAACCUUCAAGGAGCGUGAUGGGAGGUUUGUUGUUAUCUUCAGUCUUCUUUCACAAUGA
rnacentral:rRNA from 1 species